rnacentral:rRNA from 1 species
GACGAACGCUGGCGGCGUGCCUAAUACAUGCAAGUAGAACGCUGAAGGAGGAGCUUGCUCUUCUGGAUGAGUUGCGAACGGGUGAGUAACGCGUAGGUAACCUGCCUGGUAGUGGGGGAUAACUAUUGGAAACGAUAGCUAAUACCGCAUAAUAACAGUUGUUGCAUGACAACUGUUUGAAAGGUGCAAUUGCAUCACUACCAGAUGGACCUGCGUUGUAUUAGCUAGUUGGUGGGGUAACGGCUCACCAAGGCGACGAUACAUAGCCGACCUGAGAGGGUGAUCGGCCACACUGGGACUGAGACACGGCCCAGACUCCUACGGGAGGCAGCAGUAGGGAAUCUUCGGCAAUGGACGAAAGUCUGACCGAGCAACGCCGCGUGAGUGAAGAAGGUUUUCGGAUCGUAAAGCUCUGUUGUAAGAGAAGAACGAGUGUGAGAUGUG